AGGAAAGUGUGCAGGUGAUUGGAGUCGGGCUUCAGUGCAUAGCGGGACCUCUCACCCAAACGUCACGUCAUUGGCGUCCACAGCCAUCUCUUAUUCCACAGUCCGAGGCUAGGUGGGACAGGCGAUUGGAGACAGGACCUCUUGCUCAGUCAUUACGUUCCUGUCGUCCACGCGGCUGCUGUUGAUUUGUGGUAGAAGUGGACUUCCUCUUCCUGUUCCUGUAUUCCACUGUCCCAGGAUAUCGGUCCAAGAAAGAGACCUUCACAUGUGAGCAGUCCUGCUCAAUCAGAGGCAAAGAAAAUAUCGUGGGAACCUAAUGAGUCCCGGGAAAAAAUAACGAGUGAGGAGGGCUCUGUACAGUCUGAGUCCCGACAUCGAUACGCCUUCAACAUCGGGUAACAUUAGUGGAACAAUUAUCAAUGAGAACAGGACUACAGACUGUUACCCUACCCCCAACAUAACAAGUUUUGACUCAAACAAAAUGACACUGAAGAACUGUGUGAUAAAAGGUUACCAUGUGUUUAAGGUUAGACCAUUCAUCUCUAGUCCACCAACACAGUUGAUUGUUGACAGAGAAUAUAGAAAUAAAAAGGAUCCAGAUGCAUGUUUGGUUUGGUUGCCAACGUUGGAAACAUUUCCUUAAAGUGUCUAUGAUACAGUUACAGAUGAAAAGCGCCAGCUGAAAUUAUCAGAUGUAGCAGGCCACCCAAUAGGACAUGUUCCUGAAAUCUUGUCAAUUUUCUGUUCUUCAAUUAUGAACGAGGUUGGAACCAUAACAGCAGAGGUAACGGGGGAGCCAGUGCCAAGUUUUCAACCAUGGCCAGCCCCAAAUGAAGAAGGGGGUGGUGUUGUGUUUCCUUGUCAUUAUGUGAUAAAUCAGUCUGAUAUCAAGGCUAGCUUUAGCAAGCUGUGUUUGCUUCUGGAAAAAUCACCCGAAGGUUUUGCUAUGGAUCUGUCAAUUGAAACCACACCAAAAGCAUAAAUUAAAAGCAUGGGUGAUUUUGCUUGCCUACUAUUGUUUAUAAAAUACACUUUGUUUCAUGGUCAUAAUAUCAGGUCAUAUGCCCAACCCUGUAACUGAUCAAAAAUUUAUCUGAACAACUAGCAUGAGCCUCUUUUUACUUUGACUUUGUAAGUUUUUUUAUUUUGGUGCUCACUUGAAACUUAACUAAUAUAUUUAGGGUUAUCAUGUUAGAUUCUAUGCAUGACUCUGACCAGUAUUUUUGCCAAAUGAUGUCCUCUUUUGAAGUUGGACAAUUAUUUAUUGACAUGGAACCAAAUA